AUGGGUGUGCUUCUGGUCUACAUCAGCUUGUUUGCUACAGGCCACAUAUUUACCAUGCAGAGGAUUUUGUUCCCACCUAUGAGCCAAUUGUUCAAGCGUAUUUUGCUUUGCUAUUGAUUUCACCUACUUUGCAACAACAGUUGUUGCACUUCCUUCAUGCUGUUCAACCUGAGUAUCAUUCAUAAACUCACUUGAAAAAUUUUUGCUCACCUUCAUAACAGAAUGAAGCUUCUUACGUCUUUCGUGGUUUUCAAUGAGCUUUAGCAUCCAGUUGUUAGAUGUUUCAAGAUACUUUGCCAGUCCAGUUAUGGUGGCUUUGUUGCAG